rnacentral:rRNA from 1 species
CUGUUCCUACGGGACGCAGCAGUGAGGAAUAUUGGUCAAUGGGCGGGAGCCUGAACCAGCCAAGCCGCGUGAGGGAAGAAGGUACAGCGUAUCGUAAACCUCUUUUGUCAGGGAACAAAGGCGGGGACUAGUCCCCGGAUGAGGGUACCUGAAGAAAAAGCAUCGGCUAACUCCGUGCCAGCAGCCGCGGUAAUACGGAGGGCGCGAGCGUUAAUCGGAAUUACUGGGCGUAAAGCGCGCGUAGGCUGUUGUGUAAGUUGGGGGUGAAAUCCCACGGCUCAACCGUGGAACAGCCCUUGAUACUG